UGGGGAAUAUUGCACAAUGGGGGAAACCCUGAUGCAGCGACGCCGCGUGAGCGAUGAAGGCUUUCGAGUCGUAAAGCUCUGUCCUAUAGGAAGAUAAUGACGGUACCAUAGAAGAAAGCCCCGGCUAAUUACGUGCCAGCAGCCGCGGUAAUACGUAAGGGGCGAGCGUUGUCCGGAAUUAUUGGGCGUAAAGAGUGCGUAGGCGGCAAAUUAAGUCAGAUGUGAAAACUAAGGGCUCAACCCAUAGAUUGCAUCUGAAACUGAUAUGCUUGAGUCAAGGAGAGGAAAGUGGAAUUCCUAGUGUAGCGGUGGAAUGCGUAGAUAUUAGGAGGAAUACCGGUGGCGAAGGCGACUUUCUGGACUUGAACUGACGCUGAGGCACGAAAGCGUGGGGAGCAAACAGG
rnacentral:rRNA from 1 species